UCAAAGGUUGUAAUAUCUGGUGUUUAAAAACUAAGGCAUGGAAUGUAGCUUACAUAUUUAGCAUGCUAAUCAAAUCCUUUAUUUAUAAAUAGUUCAAAGCUUACUUUUACUACAGUUCCCAAAUAAACGAUGAAAAAUUCAGAUAUAGAGAAGCCCGAGUUAAUGCUGAUUUACAAUAGUCUAAAAACUAAUUUUCCAACUACUGAUGAAUGUUGAUUAUUAUGUAGAUAACUAGUGAAAAGAACUUAUUUUUGUUCACAAAGUCUGCUCAGGACUCCUCUUUAACCUUGUCCACAGGUGCCUAAGAAUCUACAUACACAGCCUGUAGGUCCUGCUUCGUGCCCUCUGCUACUUUCAGGUAACACCAGUAAGGACCUUCGGGAUAACAAAGGUCAAGAACUUCCCUAAAAGACUUCAAAGCAAUUGAGCUAGAUUUCCCUUGAUGAAGAUUCUGGAAUGCUCUGAAAUCAUUCCUGUUGCCAUUUCUACCUGGCAAUGAAAGCAGAUAUCUCAUACCUGCUGAUCAGAGAGGAAACCAGAGGCAGAGGAGACAACUCAAUGGGCAAAGAAAACAAUGACUGUCUACACAUGUAAGCAAUUUACCUGAAUAAGCAUAACGAACAGUUCAACUGGCUCAACGCUCUUCAUUCAGUCGGCUGCCACAUAACUGCUGUGAAUGAUUCCUCCUUGUCUUAGGAAGUUAUUUUACCAUUAUAAAGACGAUGGACCCUCAGCCAAGACAAUCAGUUGAGACAUAAAAAUAUUCCAUUGCUUGAUUGCUAUAGUGGAAAGGUUCUGAGACUUGGGGCAGGGAAGCAGAACUGGGUCGCACUCUCUGCUAUAUGAAAUUGGAAUGUUUUUUGAAUUUCCAGACCCAUGGAUUCCUCAGCUGUAAAAUGGGGAUAAUGACAUCCAGGUCAUAGGCUUGUUUUGACAAUUAAAUGAGAUAAUGUAUAUAGAGUACAUCACCUAGAACCUGGCAUGCCAUUUAUUUUAAAGAAAAUGCCAAGGUUUUUUCUUUCAAAUAUUAAAUGAAACAUUUGGCAGAUGUCCUUUUUCCCA